AACGUAAGUGUUAAUGUGGCUAAUCGCAAAAUAUUUAGGAGAUAUGAGAAAUCUUGGAUACAGGAAAUGUAUUAAUGAUUUUUAUGUUUAUGCUUUGGCACAUUCAUUUUGUGUGAACAAAAAAAGUUUGAUUAUGUAAUCACCCAUCCGGGCUGGCAACUAUGCAAACUAAAUUCUUCGUAUCCGGCCGAAUAUCUUUUUACAUGCUCAAAUGGGAUUAUCUUGAAAGCUAACUAAUCCUUAGUCGUGGUAAACUUUCCUUACGGACUAUGCAUUCACGAUCCAUCCAUCUCCAGGGGAACGAGUGACUGAUGAUCUAGGACCGCAACACCAAAAUAAUCAAUUAAAUAAAGAUGUCCUUCCCACAAAAUUGCGGAGAAUGUGUGGCGGACGGUAAUUAUUGGGGGGUACGAGUAGACGGGUCUGAGAUAUCUGAUCUGACUCUCCAAGCGCCCCACCCCAUGAGUUCCUCAGGAGGGCCAUCGCUACCACGGAGGGCUGCUCGUCUCUCACGACCACGACGACCCCACCUCCUCCUAAAUGCGGAGGAGAAGGGUUCGCCAUGGGUGUGUUUGUUGGUAUGGGAAUCGCCGCCGCCAUACUUGUGUGUGGAAUUGUGGCAACUGUGGUUAUCAGACGCUGGUGGUGUAGACGCGAAUUGUGGCGUGACAGACGCCUCGUCAACAAGGAAGUUUUCCGAAAAGUGGUCGUGAGCAGCCCGGAGGUCGUAUUGUUAAAUGACAAACAAACUACUACUUUAUUAAACAAUUUUACUGGCUAAUUGUCAACCCAAAAAUAACUACUUUCACGACUUAAAAUUCCACACCUUCACUACUGCGUGUCUGCUUGGUAAGUAAAAAGAACGGCGUGCUCUCCAUAUACUUAACACACUAAAAAGAAUAAAGAAUAACCUCCAAUCCAAUCACACCGCUCCUUUCAAAUCUGGGAAUUUGAGACACUUUGUCUCCUUAACUUUUUACAUAAAAAUUCAUACAUACAGCUUUUAACAUAUUAUUAAGUAGCGUCAGCUACUUAUUGUGAUCGUUUUGUCCGUCCGUCUGUCCGUCCGUCUGUCCGUCCGUCAGCAGGAUAUCUCCAGAACGAGUCAAGAUAAUCAAACGCGGUUUUCGCCAUUGUGCUUCUAAUUUUUAGUUCUCGACCGAGUUCGAAAGUGGGGUCAAUCAGACCACACCCCACCGCGCCAGGGGGUGUGGUCCAAAUUAAAUUUAACUGUAAUUUUCAUAUGGGGUGUCAUUUUAAAGGAAAUUUCACCACGAAUUCAAUGGUGUCAAAAUGUUUGACCUCAUGACCUUGAGGACAAGGU